UGCAAAGGGAAGCAGAGUCAAAUUAAAGCCUCCCAACCACGGCUCGUGGUGCUGCGGAUGGGGCGUCCCUCCCUCCCUCCCUCGGCUUGAUGAAGGUGGGUGUGAGAUCCCACAGGACUGUCUGGAAGAGAGCCCGUGGAAGUCACUGUAUUUUGCAGAAGCUGGAGGCGAAGCAGAAGGUUUCUUCCUAAGCUGAGUGAAUCUGGACACUUUCUAACUUGGAACAAAUCACACAGACAAAAUGAAGAUAAAAUGCCCCCAUCCAGAUUGCAGCCUGACACUUCUGCCUCUUUUCCCUCUGGGCAUAUCUUACUGGGUCUUUGCAGGUCAUGGCUGGACUGUUGUGGUGGGGUAACUGAAACAAACCGAAGAGACUGAUGGAAAAAAAAUCAAAAAGCAAGG
ensembl:lincRNA